CCACGUCAGGCUAGAUCACCCGCUGAGUUUAAGCAUAUCAAU
rnacentral:rRNA from 7 species